rnacentral:rRNA from 1 species
AGUGAACGCUGGCGGUAGGCCUAACACAUGCAAGUCGAACGGCAGCACAGUAAGAGCUUGCUCUUACGGGUGGCGAGUGGCGGACGGGUGAGGAAUACAUCGGAAUCUACUUUUUCGUGGGGGAUAACGUAGGGAAACUUACGCUAAUACCGCAUACGGCCUACGGGUGAAAGCAGGGGAUCUUCGGACCUUGCGCGAUUGAAUGAGCCGAUGUCGGAUUAGCUAGUUGGCGGGGUAAAGGCCCACCAAGGCGACGAUCCGUAGCUGGCCUGAGAGGAUGAUCAGCCACACUGGAACUGAGACACGGUCCAGACUCCUACGGGAGGCAGCAGUGGGGAAUAUUGGACAAUGGGCGCAAGCCUGAUCCAGCCAUACCGCGUGGGUGAAGAAGGCCUUCGGGUUGUAAAGCCCUUUUGUUGGGAAAGAAAAGCAGCAGGUUAAUACCCCGCUGUUCUGACGGUACCCAAAGAAUAAGCACCGGCUAACUUCGUG